UUCAGCCAUAAUUAUUUAUAAGAUAAGUCAAUCUAAUGUCCUUGUCCCUGAUUAUUAAUUUUUGCAGGCUUUAAACAGCUGUACAAGAGCAAAACUGAUAGCUUUAUUUGUGUAUCUUAUAUGUAUGUCAAACAGGAAGAUAAACUAUUAAUACUGGUAUAUAAACUGGGAGAUAUUGACAGCAGGCAGAAAGAUCACAGGAUACUAUGGCAUGACAACAGGUAUUCUAAGAGGCGCUGAAAAUGAGUAAAAGCUUGAUAACAGAGAAUGACUUCUUCAAAGCCUUUUAUCACCAAGGACAGUACUUCUAUAAAGACAUACACUGGCCUACCUCGACGAUUCUAUUGUACAGAAUUCGUAUUAAAAAUCCUAUCACAGAAGCAGACGAAUUCCUUCAUCAAACUGGACUAUGUUCCUUACAGUAUGAACGCUGGAUGAAAAUCGUUAAUGAAGAUGGUCACCAUGCAGAGAUAUUGUUCGUUAAAAAACUAGAGCAUUUACUGAAUUAUAAACUAUUUCCGGCUACAGCCACGCAAAUCAGCAUCGAUUUGGUGCUCAGUUACUCGCCUUGCUCAGACUGUGCUGCAUGUCUGAUUGCACUAAAGCAAGGUAUUGAAACAUACCGAAACAGAGAUGGUAUAGCUAUGUUUUGUGAUAUAACUAUAAAGUUUUCAAAUUUUUACAAAAUUUAUGACCCAAUAAACACGGAAAACUUGAUUGAAAUGGUGAGAAAUCAAAUUCAGCUCGUGGUAUUUAAUGGUCUUUGUGACUGGAAAGACUUUCUUGACAACACAGUGAAAUUGCCCAUUGACGUCCAAUCGGAGGGUUUCUUUAAUGCAUUCAAAGUACGACAAGACAGAGAACUUGUGGAUGCAAUGUUGCUUGACUGCAUAAAAAAGGCUGCGAUCACAUGGGUUAUUCUGCAAAGAGCGGGACUUUGAGGAGGAACGAGUUUCAAGUAUACAAUUCACUUUGGAAAAACUUAGCCUCGGAAGAAACUACGGCGACAAAGUCCAGCAAGGAUCAGCUUAAAGUUAGUCGACAAAUGAAAACCAGAUUAUUAUAUAUUUUCUGUUUAAAAAAAAAUGAUACAAAAAUAAGAUAUGUGUAAGAUUUUUGAAAUUCAAUAUACGAACGUAAGAUAUCGGAGAAGCCCAUAAAACAUUUAGACAGGAAAUAAAUCGUAGUAUACUGACAGGUAUACUACAUACAUGUACAUAUUUGCAAAGUCACAUUCAAUAUUUCAUCGCAUUGUUAAAAAAGGAAGCAAAAUGUAAAUACAUUAGAUGCGUUUUAAACAUAUAAGUCGAAUAUUGAAACGAAUUCAUUGAUGUGUCUAAUUGUUUGUCUCGUCCGUGAUAAUUUUUUUUUUGUUGGAUUUAACGUCGCACCGGCACAUGAUAGGUCAUAUGGCGACUUUCCAGCUUUAAUGGUGGAGGAAGACCCCAGGUGCCCCUCCGUGCAUUAUUUCAUCACGAGCGGGCACCUGGGUAGAACCACCGACCUUCCAUAAGCCAGCUGGAUGGCUUCCUCACAUGAAGAAUUCAACGCCCCGAGUGAUAAAGAUACAUGUAUGUCUUGUAGGUACCAUGAACAUCAUAUUUAAUUUUUUGUUGGUUUGACGUCGCACCGACACAGUUUAGGUCAUAUAGCGACUUCCCUGCUUUCAUGGUGGAGGAAGAGCACAAAUGCCCCCUCUGUACUUAUUGUCAUAAUGGAUAAGCUCCUGGGUAGAACAACCAAAUGUCCGUAAGCCAGCUAGAUGGAUAAAGAAUUCAAUGUCCCGAUUGAGGGGCAAAUGAUUUGAAGUCAGCUGCCUUAUCAGCCCGGCCUCAGAGACCCCGGGCAGCAUACUUAUAUGCGCUUAUCACAGUAUGAAUCUAUUUAUUGGAUUAUGUCUUGUAUUCUACACAUCUCCUCACGAAAGCGGAGAAAUGAGUAAAUACAGUGUAUAAAGAGUUAUAUCUUACUCCGGUGCCACGUGGCGACUGUACAAAGUAUCCCGUGUUGUUAUAUGUUCUGGUGCUUAACGAUCGUGGAGUCCCUUAAUCAUUUAAUCAUGUUGUUACGCUUGUUACGUUGCGGCGUGAUGUUCAUGUACAGACUUCCGAAAGUUUCUGUACAUUUCUAAAAGGUUAGAACAAAAUUGAUGACAUAGCUUAUUGCAGAAACUAGCAAUUUUGACAAAGAUCCUUUGAUACACAGCUAGGUAAUGCAUCAAAAACUAAAAUGUAACUUUGACAUUAAACAUCGACUACCAUUGCCCUAUUACAUAUUUUUCAAUGAUUUAAAUUAUAUUUAGUAAUAAAAAAACAUUUAUCUAAAAAAAAUGACUUCAAUCAAAGUACUUUCCCAGUAAGAGCAUCAAUGUAACAUGCAAUCGAUAAAAUUACCUGGAUUUUGUGUGCAUUAUCAUUUUAAAAUAAAGUAUCCUCAAAAACAACAUCGUUUGGUUAUCACUCCCCUGAAUCCUUUAUGUUGAUUUUGUUAAAAUAACGACAAUGGAUGUAUUAUAGAAUAUAUCUCCGGAAUAUAUAUUGAGCCGCGCCAUGGGAAAACCAACAUAAUGCAAGUGAUCCAUGCUGUUCUCUAACGCGGAUGCGGAUGCGCAGUCUGGUCUGGAUCCAUGCUGUUCUCUAACGCGGAUGCGCAGUCUGGUCUGGAUCCAUGCUGUUCUCUAACGCGGAUGCGCAGUCUGGUCUGGAUCCAUGCUGUUCUCUAACGCGGAUGCGCAGUCUGGUCUGGAUCCAUGCUGUUCUCUAACGCGGAUGCGCAGUCUGGUCUGGAUCCAUGCUGUUCUCUAACACGGAUUCGCAGUCUGGUCUGGAUCCAUGCUGUUCUCUAACGCGGAUGCGCAGUCUGGUCUGGAUCCAUGCUGUUCUCUAACACGGAUGCGCAGUCUGGUCUGGAUCCAUGCUGGUCGCAAGUGCGCUUUGCGUGCUUUCGAAUGGUGCGGCUCCAAUUAUGAUAACUCUGUCUGUUAUACUGAAAAAAAGAAAAACAUUAUGGGAAUCUGAAAGAAAAAAAUCAAUGUGUGCUAGUAACAUAGGUACAUUUUAUACCAUUGUAAUUGCUAUUAUAUUGUCUAAUUGCAUUCAAUGCUUCCAGUGGCUCUCUUCAUAUAGAUAUUGUUGCAAGAAAGUGAUAGUUACUAAACAAUGUGUUUAUUCUGUCAUAGACAUCAAGAUUAACAUACAUAUAUACACGUAUUCGAUGAUACUGAGUUCUAGUUGUAUCAAAAUCUGUUGUCCAUUAUUUGAACAGGGUUCCAUUAUUUGAACAGGGUACGUUGAGCACUUAAGCAUUCUUAGAUUAUUGCUUUUGAAGUCGGCUUUCAAAGUUAUGCAUGAUAAAAAUAUGUUAAUUAUUAAAUUGGGACGUUUUUCUUCAUUAUUUUAUUUACGCUGAGCUUCGUAUUGCUUUGCUAUGGAUGUUUUCAGCCAUUGCUAUUACGUCAUAGAAUUGUAAAUCCCCAUACUAGGCGUCUAACACCUGCACGUGACAAAUCAUUAUUGUAUGGUGAAUAUAUUGGUGCAAUUUUAAUUGAAAAUGGUAAACAUUGUCUUUGAAAUAGGGGUGUUGUUCUUCCUAUCAUGCUGUUCCUGUAUACCAGACAAGAAACUGACUUUGAUCUCCACGCCAUUGACCUUAAGAUGUUUGAGUAUUGCCAUAUUACUUUUGGUUUGUAACAUGGGAAAAAAUGGACACAACUGAACGGACUGUCUGGCGGAGCGCCAAGCUAUAUUAUUCUUCAAACUGAUACUGAGCAAGUAGUGACAAAAAGGGGGUUAGGUUUAUCAUCAUACACGUUUGUGCAUGAUUUUUAAGACUAUAUUUACUUGGCAAUAUAUGUUUGUUUGGGUCAUAUUGCGACGUCUCAAUUUUUCAUGGUUGAGGAAUACCCAAGGUACGCCUCUAGGCAUUUUUCAUCACGGACGGGCACCUGGGUAGAAUCACCUACUUUCCGGAAGACAGGUGGAUGGCUCUCUAACACUUAAAAUUCUACGCCCAGAAUAAGGUUUCUGCGAGGGGCAAGUUAUUUGAAGUCAGCGACCUUAACCAUUUUGUCACGGAGGCCCUGAUUGACAUUAAAUGUAGGUCAGGAUAGGAUAUUACAUGAAAAUCACAAUUGUACAUAUACUAACUUUUUGACGUUGACUGUAUUUUGUUCUAACACGAUCCGAUUUAUUUCCCGACUGAAAUUGUUUGUUAUCAAGAAACACAAUCAAUCUGUACGCUAUAACUAUAACGUCUCAUACUGUAACGGUGCGCAAGAAAAGAAAGCCACACACAACAGGCAUAUAUUUGAUGAAUAUCUUCAAGGCAGUAGAUAAUAAUCAUUGAUGACGUAAUAGAUGUGCAGAGCACUUGAACCGGCUCUGAAGGUCAAAGGUCAAGGUCACAAACCGAGUUAAAAAGUAAGAUUUGUCCGUUUUAUUUCGUGUUCGGAGCCUAACUUGAUAACUGUAUAGUGUAUUGACUUUAAACUUGGGGUGUAUGCAAGUAGUGAAAAGACGAUGUACAGAAUGCAUGUGCCAGAGUGGAAGGUCAAAGGUCAAAAUCAUAGCAAGGUCAAAUCUGCCUAUCAUACUUCAUUUCAAGAAGAAAACUUGAAAACUAUUAGAAGUAUUGACUUGAAACUUGAAUAUAGGCAGAUGUUGAUGCAACAAUCUACAACGCAACCCUCAGUACCACCACUAUCCCCACAGCACCAAAAUAUUGUUGUUUUCUUUUUAUUUACAUCCUCCCAAUCUACACUGUAAACCCCGCUCCUAUCUCUAGUAUUCUCCCUCAACACCACACCCCAAAAACACACCCGCCAUUUUUUAUUCCGUUUAUUGCUGUUUGUAUCCUGUCUCCAUUCUGCCUCCCACGUCCUCCGUUGUAAUCCUUCGGGCGUAUACUGCCCCGUUUGUUUAUGUAAGCUACGACACAAGGUAAGUAUUGUAAACACUUUAAAUGCACUCGCUUAUCUUGUUCUACAUCUGAUCUGUUUUAUAACAAUUUGUUUGCUGUUUUGGCAGAUGCAUUCAUACGAAACUGCAAGCUUUUAUGUAAACUAUAUAUUAAAAGAUUUAUGUGCUUAGGUAAUUUAUCAACACGUUAUUUGUCGUCUUGAAGGGAUAGACACAUAAUACUUAUACCCUUUAAUUCGGUCAGUUCAAAGAAAUUGGAAUUAAUUGUUUUUACCAAAUUGAAUUUUCCUAAUAAAGUCGCUAUAUGUGAAGUGGCGAAACAUGUGACAAAUGAUUGGAUAAAGAAUCUGAUUAACAAAGAUAAUUAUCUUAUAUUGUCUGUAAUUAUCGUGAGUAAAAUCAAUAAUUCAAAAAUUAGUUAAAGCGGAACAUGAACCUAUACAGCAAUUUUCAGGUGUUAUUCGAAACCUGUCAUAUGCAGUCUAGGUUUAAUUCAACAGUCAUUAAACUAAGAAAUAAUUGUCUAAUCCAUUUAAGUAAGCAUGUCAAAAACGUAAGAGAAAUAUCGUUUCUACAAGUUUUCAAUAGUUCAAUUUAUCGCCCAGUUUUUAACCUGUUUGCCCCUUUAAAAUAAAUGACUGGUUUGAAAAGGAGUUGAAAAUGUCUGCUUUAACAUACAACUGAUACAAAAGUAACAGAAUUAGAAAUAAUUUCCUUAUCUGGUUUCAAGGAAGUUAUGUGUAGUAUUGACAAUUUGUUUUAUUUGUUUGACCAAGUCUGCACGUGUAUUUAAUAUACCCGUAAUUCAUUUCUAAAUUUAUUUUCUACCCUGUAAGAAAUGUAUUCAUAGCAAAAACACAAAAUGAGGAAGAUAACAAAUGAUGAAUAAACAUUUAUCAAGUAAACAACUUGAUGGCAACAACUUGAUGGCGAUACUGAAAGAUGAAUGAAAGCUUGAUAGACGGUGACAAUUUUUACGAGGAAAUUUUCCAUGCCAGUGAGUAUGGUAAAGCAGGAUGGCCUUCCUCGACAAUACUCUUGUACAAAAUUCGAAUUAAAAGAGAAACGACUAAAGCACAGAAGUUGCUGCAUCAGUCAGGGUGUUCGUCGCUGCAAUGCGAACGAUGGAUAAGAGUCGACAAUGAUUCUUGUCGUGGAUUUCAUGCGGAAACUAUUUUAAUACAACAAGUAAACGAUCUUUUGGACUGCUUACGUGAAGAUAGAAGCCUAUUCUCUGUAAGGCAAAUUAGUAUAGAUAUUGUGCUGAGUUAUUCUCCAUGCUCAAAUUGUGCAAAAAGUCUUAUUAAACUGAAGGAAACUAUUGAAAACGUCGUUUUUUAUGACCGUAGUUUCAUAUUUUGUGAUAUGAAUGUAAAGUUUGCUAACUUCUACCAGCAUUAUAGGCACGAAAACAUAAAAAAUCUAAUAAAAAUGACGCAUUCCCAAAUACAACUUUCUGUGUUUAAUGGGCUGUGUGACUGGAAGGAUUUUCUGGAUAACACGGUAAAACUCUCACUUGAUGUUCAGUCCGAAUAUUUCUACGGUGCCUGGCGAGUACGACAGAAAAGAUAGCUAGUUGAUUCAAUACUACUUGAUUGCAUAAAGCGAGCUGGAUUGAAAUGGUAUUUGCUUGCGCAGGAGCGGAGAGUAAUCAUAUUAGAAAUGAUCCGAAAUAUUAAAUCAGUUUGCACGGGUUUCGAAUGUUUAAAUCUAAUCCGGAAGUAGACUUGACAUUACUGUAGUAAGAUCAGGAUGAAUCAACGAUACCUAAACAUUUUGCUUAGUACGACACGUGUAGUUUAAACAGAUGCAUGCAUUAUCCUGAUAUGAAUCACUUAACCGCGACAUAUUUUGGGAUGCAUACGUUUUUCAAUAUAUUUCUCACUAAUUGUCUUUAUAAGAUUUCUUGGAUAUGUGGUUAAGCUGAUAUCUGACUAAAGUACUUGAUCUUCUAAACAAAGAUCUGAAGAUGACUAAUUCACAUUCAUCUUUCUGUAUAUAUGGAUUUCCGAUAUUGCUAUUUUUAUUUUCGCAAAUCUAUUUUUAUUUGAACCAAUCAGACGACUCGUUUCAACAAGCAGUUGGCAUCAAAAUAGCGUCGAAUGUCACAGGGUGAGAAAAAUGUGCAGUCUGUCCGGGGUUCGAACCCGUGACCUCUCGCUUACAGGGCGAGUGCUCUACCGACAGAGCUAACCGGCAGCCUGACACAUAUUCUCCCCUUACGUGACCAAGUCCGUACCUUCUCGAAACAUGAGGGCGCAGUCAUGAUGUUUUCAUCAUAAGAAUUGUAAACAUGAAAACAAAACAGGCUAAAUAUAGAUUUUUUCAACUUCUACUUUCACUUUCAAAAUGUUGAAAGCAAGGCUCUGAUUGGCUAGCGGAAGGGUCGUCGAAACGAGGCUAUCAAUAGCACGUCUUCAUAUCUAAAGCGUAGCGUUAAUUGGAGAUGUACUUUAGUCGAUUGGUUAGGCUGAAUAUAUCAGUAAACAUAAUCAAUGUACUAAAAUAAAAUUUACUAUCUUCAAACAGGGAAAAAAAUCAGUUAAAAAUCUUACAAUAGUUUCAAUCAAGUCCUGUCAUAUUUCAGUUUUCGUAGGGCAGGAGCUGUACAGGGGCUAUACAGGCAUACAUAUUUUUAUGUUAGAUGUGUUAACAAUGUCUGAUAGCACAGAUACGGUCUUGACAAUAGGCUAAAAUGCGUCAUUUUCUGAGGGAAAAAAAAGCAUCCGAUCUAAUAUUAUUUCAUUACAAAAAUAAUAUGUCCUAAACAAUGAUUUAUCGUUGAAUAAAAUAUCGCCAGGAGUCAGAUGCUAAGGAAUUAUAUCACGAAAAAGUGAUAAAAUAAUACGAUCUUUACAACAAACGAUUUACUUGUUUUGGGUUGUUUUCUUUUACAGCGCGCCGCUAUGACGUUUGACGCUAUCACGUAAUGAAUGUGACGUUCUAAUAGUGAUUUUGUUGCAUAAUAACACAGUUUCGGUCUUCUUUGUUUAAUAUGUUUAAUAAAUCGAGUCGUGUUGGAACAAUGAAUAAUAUCCAAAACAACAACUAACGAAUCCUGACAAUUACUGCGAGAAAAAAUGAAUUGUCAAAAUUAUUUGUCUGAUUCAAACAAACUUUAUGAGAUUCUUUCACCGAUUGUAGAUGCAGAUGGGAAUAUGCAGUCUUAAGGAUAACUUCUUACAAGGCAUUAACGAUGCUCUGUCGAGUUGCAACGUUAACAGUUACCCGAGAGCCGGGUAUUCCUAUGUGCAUCUACAAUUAGUAAUAGGAUCAAUUUUUGCAUGCCAUAUUCAACAAGCAAUAGCAAAGAAAGAAUCAAACAAAUGACUUACUUAACCUUUAGUCUGAUAAUUUCUAAAAUUAACAGGUCAAUCAUUCAAUUUGGGCAAUACCAUUUAUUAUUUGAAGGGUUGUUCGCUGAAAAUUUACUGACUGAAUAGCGAACAGUGCAUACCAUGAUCAGCCUGCUCUUGGUCUGCAUUGGUCGCAAAUGCAGAAUCCCUUGCCACCAGCAGGCUAACGGUUAAAGCACUUUUUUCUUAUAUUAGCGUUAACGUUACGACCGUAAAUAGGAAUUAUGUCAUGACGUUACAAAGACAAACGCAACGUUUCACUGCAGAUGAAAAACGAAAUAGGAACUAUUACGUUAUGACUUUUUGGUUCAACGUUUCUUGGAUCGAGAUAUAUUUGAUAAGGAACAAAGAAGCACUCAAAU